CAGUCGCCGCGGGAAUACGUAGGUGGCAAGCGUUGUCCGGAAUUAUUGGGCGUAAAGGGCUCACAGGCGGUUUCUUAAGUCUGAUGUGAAAGCCCCCGGCUCAACCGGGGAGGGUCAUUGGAAACUGGGAAACUUGAGCGCAGAAGAGGAGAGUGGAAUUCCACGUGUAGCGGUGAAAUGCGUAGAGAUGUGGAGGAACACCAGUGGCGAAGGCGACUCUCUGGUCUGUAACUGACGCUGAGGAGCGAAAGCGUGGGGAGCGAACAGGAUUAGAUACCCCAGUAGUCCCUGUCUCUUAUAC
rnacentral:rRNA from 1 species